AGCGAGGAGCCUGGCAGGGGGUGACAUGGGCGGGUGGGGCCCGCAGCCCCUCUGUGACAUGGGCUGGAGUCACAAUGGGGCGCCGCACCUCACCCUGAUCCCUGCCCCGUCCCACAGCUCCCAGCUCACACUUCCCCGACAGGUGGAGGUGAGCCCAGACGCGAGUUGCUGCUCUCGCCAGCGCUCUUCUCUCGACAGCUGCUCUGCAGCGAGGAGGUGAAGGCCAAGGCAGGCAGUGCGAUAGUGCUGGGUCUGUUUGGAGACGUGCACAGGAGGAGUGCAGGAGCUCGGUGAUCACAAGCCCGACGCUCUUCACCUAAGCCCGCUAGGGGCCAACUGUUGGUAAAAUGCCUCGGAAGAGGAUCUUCUUGUCCCCAAGCUUUUUGCCCAAGGAUGAGGUGCCGGAAUGUGUACUGGCAGAUCUUGCUGAGCAAAUAGAGGAGCAAGAACGCCAGUUCCUUCGUGGCCACUUUCCACCCCUCCGGACAAGUGACCUCGACCUGCUGGAGGAAGAUGG